UAGCAUCCAGAUUCUGCAAUAAUGAGAUUAGAUUUCCUUCCUUGUACUAUAAAUAGUGGCCUCAAGUAUUACUUCUCACCAUCUCAAGGCGCAAAGUGCUCAUGUUAUUGAGUUCUGAAUUCCUUCUUCCUUUUUCUUUUUGACUAGAAGUCGCCUUCCAAGGUCUAGAUGCAUAACGUAAUUGAGAUGAUACAAUAUAUUUUAUCAAAACCCAAUUUCAUAUUCGUUGUGAGACACAAGUGUAGUCUUCUAAAAGCCAAAAAUCCAUCAGUAUCAAGAAUUAUUCCCAUGAAUAUGAUAACAAGCUCAAUUAAAAUUUUGAUCGGUUCAGCGAUUUACCAGAUUUUUUCAUCGAGCAAUCGAAGCCAUUGCCUAGGACAAAAUGAGCUGUGGAAAUGCAGCUGUUGAGGUCAGAUGAAGGAAACUGAAAGGAUGGAAUCGUCUGGGGAAAAGGUGUGCAGAUUUCUGAUUCAGGCUGUUGCUCAAUGGGAAUGGAAGGGUUAAGUAGGUCAACAAGUUCCUUCCUUGUUAGGAGAAACUGACCGCCACCACCAAGAUUCACCUGAAAAGCCUGUAAGAUUAUCUGCUGAAAUCAGUUCAUCACUUCCUCAGGAAAUUCCAAUCUUGCCUCCAGUUUUCAAACACCACGGCAGCAACAACAACAGAUUCCACAAGCACAGCCGCAACGGCAUAAGCACAACAACGACGGCAACAAGCAUAUCAAUGAUAGGAUAUUCAUCUCUUGACAGAUGGCCGUAUUCAUUGAAUGAUUUUUGGCUUCAAUUGCAUGAACGUUGAUUAUGGCUUUAUUCUGAAUGAUUUUUUAUCUGCAUUGCAAGAACAUUGAUGAUGGCUUUAUGUCCCAUUUUGAAUUGUCUUAGCUUCAUUAUAUUUUUAUCUGCAAUAAUGAAUAAUAAAGAAGUUUAUUGCUUUUU